rnacentral:rRNA from 1 species
CAGCAGCCGCGGGAAUACGUAGGGUGCGAGCGUUAAUCGGAAUUACUGGGCGUAAAGCGUGCGCAGGCGGUUGUGUAAGACAGGUGUGAAAUCCCCGGGCUUAACCUGGGAACUGCGCUUGUGACUGCACAGCUAGAGUAUGGCAGAGGGGGGUGGAAUUCCACGUGUAGCAGUGAAAUGCGUAGAGAUGUGGAGGAAUACCGAUGGCGAAGGCAGCCCCCUGGGCCAAUACUGACGCUCAUGCACGAAAGCGUGGGGAGCAAACAGGAUUAGAUACCCCUGUAGUCCCUGUCUCUUAUAC